rnacentral:rRNA from 1 species
UACGUAGGGUGCGAGCGUUGUCCGGAUUUAUUGGGCGUAAAGGGCUCGUAGGCGGCCUGUCGCGUCGGGAGUGAAAGCCCACUGCUUAACGGUGGGUCUGCUUUCGGUACGGGCGGGCUAGAGUAUGGCAGGGGAGACUGGAAUUCCUGGUGUAGCUGUGGAAUGCGCAGAUAUCAGGAGGAACACCGGUGGCGAAGGCGGGUCUCUGGGCCAUUACUGACGCUGAGGAGCGAAAGCGUGGGGAGCGAACAGG